CGGCGGGGCGAGCUGGGGCAGCAGGCAGACAAGGACGCCGCUGUGCAGGAAGCACAGGGAGCAACCGGGAGUAACCGGGAGUGGGCUGGUCGAAUCGGCCCCCGAGUACAGGAGUGGAACUCGCCGCGGUCGGCGGAGAAGAAGGGUUUGUCUGUGUCCUAGGCAUGGACAAGGCGCCAGAAGUCUCUUCUGAGGUUAAGGGAUGAGAAGAUCUGAAGAAGCCUGUGGAAAGAGGGCACCAAACAGCGUGGGUUGCUCGUAAUGCCUUUCACCUGGGUUGGUGGCACAGUAGGCUCCCAGAGUGGCGAAGCUAACAGGUGGAACAGCAAAGGAGGUUUAUCUGUUUCAGCUUCGCCUCCAGUGUUCAGAAAGAAAGUCCUGGAAAAACUCUUUCCUGCUCCUGUACCUCCUGAUGUAGUUUCUUCAAGCACGGAGAGCACUGCUGUUCUGAAGGCUGCAAUUUCAACUCAGGAAGAGCUGAAGAAUGUGGCAACGGUGGAAGGAGAUUCCAGUGUGCAAGAUAAAACACGUGUGAUUCUGCCUUCAAGAAAAAUGUACACCGUGACUCUACCUCCUGAAGAUUAUGUUCCAGCCACUUCUAAUGAAAACAAUAAAGGACACUCUGAAAGUUGCGCUGAGGACAGUAAUACUAGUGCUCUAGAGGAGAAUGAUAAAGGACAACUCCCAAGAAAACGGCGCCGGAAGAAAAAACAGAAAAAUGUUUUUCAAACUCCUGCCGAUGUACAUGGAAGUCCAGCAAAAUGUGGAGUGCCUGAAAAUCUGAUUGGAGAUAACUUGCAACUGCAACACCGGGAUAGCCCAAACUUGAGUCAAAACAAAAAGAGGAAAAUGAAAAAAAAGCGGCGAAAAGAAAAGAUGAGAGCAGCUGGCUUGCUAAGAAGACCCGUUGGUACUGAUUUCACAUAUAUGCCUGAAGAAAAGAGAGAAAGAGAGUUUGAAGUUGCAGAUAAAGUAGAUGACAUUCUGGAUUUUUUGCAAGCAACACAGGAAAUCUACUUUUCUGACAAGCUAUCGAAAUGUGCAGAGUCAGCUGAGAGUUCCAAAAGCAUCCAUGAGGUUUUAAAGAGUCUUCAAUCCCGCACCCUGUCAUCAUCAGAUGUCACCUGGCUACGUCAGAUGAAAUCAUUUAUUCUUCUGCAGAAUGUUGAGGAACUAAAUAUUGCCCUAAAAGACUUCUGCACACAUUCAGAGAUGCCUCCUGAUCAAGUCACGGCAAUCUCUUCUUUGUUUCUCUACUGGAUUACAGAUAUCCUUCCUGGAAAGAACAGGAAAUGAGUUGAAUGAGAAUAUCCAUCUGUACAGAGUUAAGAACUAAUAUCUAAAACUCUGAAUUGAAUCUGAGAAUAUUCAGGAAAAAAAUGUCCUUGAACAGAAUACAGGUUCACUGAGACACUAUUGAUAUUUUCUUUUGCUUAUUUUUUAUUUUGCUACUGGCUGUAUCUGCAAGGGUCUUUCAUUUUUAGUAAACCUAUAUGCACCCCGGGAUGUUCGGACAAUGGCAUCAGUGAAUUCCAUCUCACUUUGUCUUUCUUCCAAGAGAUUUGGAGUUGCCACAUUACAAGCCAGCAAGCUCCAGCACUGAUUUAAGAUGUUGGCUACGACAUAGAUUGCAACAGCUGUGGCUUGGAAUAGAGAAAUCCAGUGUUCUUUUUUAAGCCUAACUUACUUUGAACAAAGCUCAGAAACUCUUUUGAUUGAUUGUUCCAUCUGCAAGCUGGGAAACUUUGUAGGUCAAUUUAUAAGCAGUGGGGAGAAACACUUUCUGUGUGCAAAGAUAGGAGAACUUGGGAAGAUUGGUCUUCCCCAUCGUAACCCUAUUUUUAAAUAUUCACUAUAGCAGCAGAAUAAAAGGAAGUUUUUCUGAAACAAGAGCAACUAGGGAUGCAGAGUGUGGAAUGGGGGCAUGUAGUUCAAAAAUACACAUGGAGAACCAAUUCCCCAUAUGUGUGUGUAUUCUGCAAGAUAAAAUACACUCAAAAUAAAACAUAAAUGUGUCUAGCAAGAAUAAUUUAUUCUAAGUUGUGGUGUUUCCAGGUAUGGUCCUCGGCCAACAGCAAAAUCAUCUUGAAAACAAACCAUGUAGACUUUCAGAGUUUUCCAUAGCAUAGACUCAGAUGGUAUACAAUGGGACUGAGUUCCUACUGGGUCUGGUAAAGUGGAGGGCAGGGUCACUAGGCACAGCCAACUAGAGAAGGGGCUGAAGAACUCACACAUGUCUGCCACAGAAGCAACUCAGAUAUAUAGGAAGGCAAAAGGAUAUGAACUUCAACAGUAACCUCAAAUCUAAGCAUAAAGACAGCAUAAAAGGCAACUUGUGAUCAAUCAAGGCAAUAAGAUCCCAUACACCAAACAAGAAUGGGAAAAGAGAUCGGCACAGAUCUACACAGUGCACAAGGACAGUGCUCCCUGUAACUUCUCAGCUGUAAAAAAAUAAUCUCAACAAAGCCUCUGUAUGCAAGAUUGGGAAUACAGAAUUAGCUAGUCUGACGAGGUCUAUUGUUUUAAUGAUUCAUCUGCAGAAGCAACUCACAGAAGUACUUCUUCCAGCCUACAUUUUCUAGCUUCAUCACCAACAGGCCUUGCAAGAAAAAAAGGAAACAGAACCAUCACAAAGAGGAGGUCAUGACUGUACUGGACGUAUUUGGGUGAAGUUUUUAGACCCAUAUAACCAACCAUUAGAAGCUAAUGUGACAGUGUCAGAGUGGGAAAAUAUUGCACUAAAAAUGAAAGGGGGGCACGGGGAAAAGUGGCAAGGCAGUUGGCCUUGAUCAUUGUCAAGACCCCGAGAUGUGUAUUAGAAGGAGAAUAAUGAGAGAACUCUCCCUGCCUAAGAGAAGCCAUCAUUACAUGUAGGUUUAUUCAGCAAGCAAAAGUGAGAAAAGCCACUUCUGUAGAGUAGCCUGUGAACAUCAGCUUAAGACCUCUAGCAAGCUAACAUGACCCAGACUAUUUAUGAAAGGGAUUUAGGGUUGAUAGCUUACAGAAGUACUUCCAGCUGAAUAUGCAGAUCCAACGGAUGUUACCCCCAUGAACCAUAUGCAAUUGCAGCAUUGCUCCCUCCAGUAGCUUUGCUCAUUUUCAUAUCAUAAAAGAAUCAGAGUGGGAUGAGAAAGAAAGAAAAACUCUUAUUUGUCUGCACGGAGCCACAGCUUAAACUAGAUGAUCUACUACAACAUAAACUUGCAAAUAUAGCUAAUCCAAUUGCUCUGUCUCAUUUGCCGAUUAUUCAGUCAGUAAUUCCCUGGAAGUUUAGCCCAUAUGCAGAUACAAAGAGGUUGGUUUGUAAAACUGAACAGGAACUAUUCUGCUCAGUCCCAUAAUGCAGUCAAUACUCUAUUGGCAUAGGCCCCCGUGCCAUUCUGUACUUAGUCUUUAAAAACCGAACAAUACCGUUAGCAUAGCAUGGGAUUUAAGAACUGGAGCGGAACUUGGAGAUGGUUUGUUCCAACCACUUCUCCAGUACAGAACUCCACUGCUACAGCAUCUUAACAGAUCACCAUCCAACCUCUGUGUAAUAACCUCCCAAGUCAGCUUGUUCCACUGUUGACAGCUCUUACCGUUGGGGAAUUCUUUCUGAUGUUCAGUUUAAAUCUGCCUCCUUGGCCAAAUCCACAUCUUCAGAAGCAGUUUAUCCCUGUAUACUGGGCAACAGAAGGACCUUCCUAGAAACAGGAUUCUUGGUGUGGGGAGAAGAUGGACUCUUUCUCUGAUCUACUGCUUUCGUGCCAUGUUAGUUGGCACUAAAAUUAGGGAUGGACAGAUUAAACCAUUCGGUUUUGUAUUUAUUUUUAAAACACAAAUGUACCUUUGUAUUAUAUGCAUUUAUGCCAAAAGGUACAUAUUUCCUAACCUUUCCCUAAUGUUUUUAUACACAUUUUUUCUUUGAAAUGAACAUUUUCUAUGUAUUUCUUUUAACCAAGGACUGCAUUACCAAGUUUAAGGAGUGUGUUAUCCAGAAGAUGUAUUCUAUUCUGCAAAGUUGUCAGAGGAGUAAAAUAGGUUAAUUUGCUUUAAAAUGUGGAUAAAAUAAAUCUUUGCAGCAUUCCUAGCAAAAAAUACUGUGAGGAAAACAUGAUUGUGCGGUCAGCUCGCUAAAAUAUUUGAAUUUUGUUUAUCACAGACUUUUAACCAACCAACAUAUUGGAAAAAAUGAGAAAGAGAAGCCAACUGAGGUCAAUGUUGCCUGAUAGCUUUAUAAAUUACCUGUAACAUGAAAUAAACUUCUUCACUAAUCAAAGUUGGGUGCCUCUAGACAAGAAGAAAUUGAAAACACUGUGCAGAAUAAAAAUGCCAACUGGUUUGUAGUUGUCUUUAAAAAAUAGGACAGUUUUCGUAAGGAAAAAAAAUGAAAGAAAUGCAGAGUUAACUGGAGUACAAGCAACAAUGUUGGGCUGCAGUAUGAGUUGAUGAACAAGAAGAAAUGCAGAAAAUUGUGUGUGUGUAUGUGUGUGUAUAUUAAGAAUUUUUCUUGUAAUCAAGUAUGAUUAUACUAGUAUGAACUAAAAGAAAAGAGACUAGAGUGGAGUAAAAAGUGCAAGGAAAAAGAAAAGAAAAGAAUAUAAUGAAAAGAAAUAUAUAAAGAUAUGACCUCCAACCUUCAUCAUCACUAUAAACAAAUUUAGUGACUCUUUACCCCCUCAAAGUUUGCCGACAUUUAUCUGUUCAUUCCAUAUCCCAUCUCUUAUCUAUAAACAAAUCCAUAAAUCAUCACCCAGUGCCAGCAGAAAGUCCA